GAUGAAGAACGCAGCGAAAUGCGGUAAGUAAUGUGAAUUGCAGAAUCCAGUGAAUCAUCGAAUCUUUGAACGCACAUUGCGCCCGCCAGCAUUCUGGCGGGCAUGCCUGUUCGAGCGUCAUUUCAACCCUCGACCUCCCUUUGGGGAAGUCGGCGUUGGGGACCGGCAGCACACCGCCGGCCCUGAAAUGGAGUGGCGGCCCGUCCGCGGCGACCUCUGCGUAGUAAUCCAACUCGCACCGGAACCCCGACGCGGCCACGCCGUAAAACACCCAACUUCUGAACGUUGACCUCGAAUCAGGUAGGACUACCCGCUGAACUUAAGCAUAUCAAUAAGCGAGGA
rnacentral:misc_RNA from 1 species